GUAGGUGGCAAGCGUUAUCCGGAUUUAUUGGGCGUAAAGGGAGCGUAGACGGUGCGCCAAGUCUGGAGUGAAAUGCCGCAGCUUAACUGCGGAACUGCUUUGGAAACUGGCGAACUAGAGUGCGGGAGGGGUAAGCGGAAUUCCUAGUGUAGCGGUGAAAUGCGUAGAUAUUAGGAGGAACACCGGUGGCGAAGGCGGCUUACUGGACCGUAACUGACGUUGAGGCUCGAAAGCGUGGGGAGCAA
rnacentral:rRNA from 1 species